GCCCCGGUAGCUCAGUCCGGCAGAGCGGCGGGCUGCAGACCCGUAGGUCCCGGGUU
rnacentral:tRNA from 1 species